rnacentral:sRNA from 1 species
UCCACGACCGCCUCUGGGGCCUCCGCGGCCAC